rnacentral:rRNA from 1 species
GACGAACGCUGGCGGCGUGCUUAACACAUGCAAGUCGAACGGAAAGGCCUCUUUCGGGGGGUACUCGAGUGGCGAACGGGUGAGUAACACGUGAGUAACCUGCCCUUGACUUUGGGAUAACUUCAGGAAACUGGGGCUAAUACCGGAUAGGAGCUCCUGCUGCAUGGUGGGGGUUGGAAAGUUUCGGCGGUUGGGGAUGGACUCGCGGCUUAUCAGCUUGUUGGUGGGGUAGUGGCUUACCAAGGCUUUGACGGGUAGCCGGCCUGAGUGGGUGACCGGCCACAUUGGGUCUGAGAUACGGCCCAGACUCCUACGGGAGGCAGCAGUGGGGAAUAUUGCGCAAUGGGUGGAAGCCUGAUGCAGCAACGCCGUGUGCGGGCUGACGGCCUUCGGGUUGUAGACCGCUUUCGCUCAUGACGAAGCUUUGUGUGACGGUAGUGGGUAAAGAAGCACCGGCUAACUACGUG